rnacentral:rRNA from 1 species
UGGGGAAUAUUGGACAAUGGGCGCAAGCCUGAUACAGCCAUGCCGCGUGAGUGAUGAAGGCCCUAGGGUUGUAAAGCUCUUUCACCGGUGAAGAUAAUGACGGUAACCGGAGAAGAAGCCCCGGCUAACUUCGUGCCAGCAGCCGCGGUAAUACGAAGGGGGCUAGCGUUGUUCGGAUUUACUGGGCGUAAAGCGCACGUAGGCGGACUUUUAAGUCAGGGGUGAAAUCCCGGGGCUCAACCCCGGAACUGCCUUUGAUACUGGAAGUCUUGAGUAUGGUAGAGGUGAGUGGAAUUCCGAGUGUAGAGGUGAAAUUCGUAGAUAUUCGGAGGAACACCAGGGGCGAAGGCGGCUCACUGGACCAUUACUGACGCUGGGGUGCGAAAGCGUGGGGAGCAAACAGG